rnacentral:siRNA from 1 species
UGCCACAAACAAGCUGGUCGC